GUGCCCCUGCACCUUUGAAGGUCGAGGGGCAGUGGGCAGUGGGUUGGUCACGGACUUUGUAGGUACACAUCCCUGUAGGUAGCUCUCCCACUGAGCAGCUGCGUAAAUCUGAUAAAGUGCUUCAUCUCUGUGAACACGGUUCCUUCACUGCAGAGGGACAAACUCAGGGUUGUAGCAGGAAUGUCCUGAGACAUCAUCAUAAAGGCACCAAGAACGCCGGGGGUCAUGCAGGAGCUGCUAGGGGCACAGUAGAGCCCUUGACUUACAUGGAAAAGGCUGGACCCCGGGCUGAGAACAGCUUGGGUCGAAGAGAGUGAGUCAAGGGAGGAGCCUAUCUCUCCACACGGUCUGCCUGCUAAGGCCUCCCUGUCAAUAUGCUCCCCUCUGGGGAGGGCCUGCCCAUCCUGGGGUCACCUGAGAAACUGACCUAGGUGCAGUGCAGCUCCCCUUUCUGGAAGGCACUGGAUCCCACUGUGGAACCCCAGGUGCCACGGAGAGGCUCCCUCGGCCAGUUUGGAGGAUGCAGUGGCCUCUGAGGGAACCACAGAGGGAGGCGGUGCCUUGAUCAUUCCCAGACUCUCGGUGUCACACGGCUCUUUCAGCUGUGAGCUCUGAGUCCCUGUCCCUCUUGUCAACCGUCUCAUUUUACAGAUGGGGAAACUGAGGCCCACAGGGGAUAGUGACAAUAUCUCAAGUCCCACAGGAAGUUAGUGGGGACUAAGGCUGGAGCUUCAAUCUUGAAUUGUCUGGCCAUCUGUCAUCUUCCACUCAGCGAACAUCGCGGAGGGUUUGCCUGAGCCAGGCCCUGGGCCAGGACCCUUACUGGAUCCUCUGCAGGAACUCGGAAACGUCUGUUUCAUAAUCCACACUAUGGGAUCCGCAUCUGGGACAGCUUAAAUCAGAGAAGAAAUCCAAAAGAUGUCACUGAAGGAGAAGGAACAGCGAGUGUAACCCUGAAUACAUCUGUCUGCGAGGUUCAGAAUUUGGUGGGGAGCUCCACAUUUUUUUUUGCUGCCCAGCUGAAAGAACCUUCUCUGAUGACAGAUGUAGGUAUGUCAGCUCGCGGGGCAGGGUGGAGGGAAGGUGGAAGGAUCGCACCCGGCCCUUUCCUGAUUCCACCUCCCUCGGUCUCUGUGCCCAGAAUGCGGCUGUUCCGCUCAGCAGUGACUGAA
rnacentral:lncRNA from 1 species